rnacentral:rRNA from 1 species
UACAUGAAGCUGGAAUCGCUAGUAAUCGCGAAUCAGAAUGUCGCGGUGAAUACGUUCCCGGGUCCUUGUACACACCGCCCGUCACACCAUGGGAGUCGGGAAUGCCCGAAGUCAGUGACCCAACCGGAAGGAGGGAGCUGCCGAAGGCAGGCUCGAUAACUGGGGUGAAGUCGUAACAAGGUACC